CCAUGCUGGACCUGAAUACGAGUUGAUAUUGAAUAACCUACUGAACACUUCAGAUAUAUUUAGUGGCAGCACAGCUCAGUCUAGCCAGUGAUAUGGAUUAGCAUUACAUAGGAUAAGCUCUGGUCAUCAUCAAGCUAAUUCCCAUACCUAUUCAUUUCAUUCGACCCCAAUGGUAGUUUAGAAAUCUCGCCGGCCGCGGACAUGUCCCAUAUUACAAAGUCACAGGUAGGAAGCGAAGGUUUAAUUUUCAGCAGUGCAGCUUUGUCGUUCACGUUGUGCAAAAAUGGUCAAGAUUUGUCAUGGGAGACAAGUAAAUUUUUGUUGACGCUUAGACCUAGCAUUUAAAAAAAUAUAAGUCAUACCUCGCGUCUGGCCCUCUCAGCGAAAGCGAGACCCUGUCCCCUCUGUCCCCGUCUGCUGCCUCAAGCCUUCCUGUAAGCAAGAAUUAGUUCUCUAUGCAAAUACCGCUCCGCAUAAAAAUUCGGCGUACGGCAAAUUUGUUUUGUACCGACCUAUAAUAGAACCUUGACGGAGACUCCUCGCAUGAAGCUCGUACCUUGGAUGACGGAACCUUGGCUCCCAUUCGUUGACGUCCUCGACUGAGACGUUCACUCUCGCUGUAUCGUUCUGAACAGUAGCAAUUUGGAAAAUUGAUUAUGGAGCUAAAGUUAAAAUGAAGAGACAGAAAUGGAAACCCAACGCCUUACGUGGUGCCCGUCCGUCACGUGAACCCGGAAGCUGUGCUGUAUCCGACGCUCGUAGUCUAGGGUACCCUUCAGGAUGAGCUCACCGGAUCUUGUGAUGGCGAACCUCUCGAGAUCCUCGCCCGCCCCGACCAGCCAGAACCUCAAGUUCUACAGUUAGGUAACGUAUGAAGAGAUCCGUUUACCGGCUGUGGGUCCGGCGCCGAGUCCUCCCUCCCGGGCGACGACGACAGUUGCCAGAGCGUAUCGAUCCGGAUUGUCAACCUGGGUCGCCUGCGAUUGCCAUGAAUGGAACAACAUAGACAUUACAAGAACAUCGACUCGCCUUUAUCACCAGCGUCGUGGGUGCGACGACCUCGUGGUCCCUCAGGCUUCUGGUGAGCACCACGUCCCCCGUCCCCGGGUUCAGUGAGAGGAACGAAACGGCUCCCCCUUGAAGCGUGUAGCGAACCGGCGAAUUGAUCCCGGUAUCCUGGUCCACGGCCCGUAUCGCCGCUGGUUCCACUCCCAACGUCGUCCCCUGCAUCGCGCGAGGAGUGAUCUUGUAUUGGUCGUUUAGGAAGGCUGGAUUUUGGUCAUCGGCAUCGAUCACGUUCACCCGAAGGGCCGUAUCCGUCGACUGCGGGGGGUUGCCUUGGUCCUAUAGGAAGAAACACUCAUAAGGAUGUACCUUAGCAUAUACUGAUUCUGAGAGAGAGAAACAUCAUCUCGUGCAAACCUGGGCUCGAAUUCCAACGGAAAAGUUGCUCAGUGUCUCGUAGUCCAGUGGCUUGCGCAAUACCAGAGUGCCUUCCAGAGCGUUUACAAACACGAAGUAGUCCUAUGCGGAUAGACAGUUAUAUACGGCAGGUCAUGCACGUGCUCGGGGUACCUGCAGACGGAGUCUCUCACCGUCCACGAACACAGCUGGCUGUACAUAACACUAAAAGUAACGAAAUUUGUCGUCGAUGCAAUGUUCAUCAUCUGCGCUACCCAGGUAACACAAAACUGAAGUUUGUCUAUCAGACGUCUUAUGAGAGUCUUAUAACGUGACUUUGGACGCCUAAAGGAGGUCUUAUAUCCAAAUGACGUCUUUGUGACGUUGGACGUCUUUUGGAGACCGAAAUUCGCGUCAUAAGAUUUCCAUAAGACGUCUGAUAGACAAAUUUUAGUUUUGUAUCAGCUAUAGAUAACUGCAGCUUCGUUAUAGUCAUCAAUUCGGUGAAUCAAAUCACCCAUCAUAAUCAUCUUCACUGAUUACAAGUUUUACGAAGGGAAUUCACAAAUAAUA